rnacentral:lncRNA from 1 species
AGCCACACCGCCGACAUUAGCUCCCACUUUCAAGAAGCAAUAGAUUUUAUUGGAUCUUGCCCUGUAGCCCACACUGGCCUCAGACCCAGUCCACUGCCUGGGCCUUCUGAGUGCGAAGAUGAGGGAACCACCACCAGGCCCAACACGGAGGAGGUGCUGUCAUCCAUGCCGCCUUGUUUCCACGAAGGACUCCCAAUUUCCUUUUCCCUUACUUCCGUUUUCUCAGAGACUUCAAGCCACCACAAGACCUUCAAACUCCAUUUAAAGACUAAAUAUACCACUUACGAAGUGAGGUAUGGAAUAAAUAAAUACCUAAAGUGUCA